rnacentral:rRNA from 1 species
UACGUAGGGAGCAAGCGUCGUCCGGAAUCAUUGGGCGUAAAGCGCGCGUAGGUGGCCCGGUAAGUCCGCUCUGAAAGUCACAGGCUCAACCUGUGAAAGCGGGUGGAUACUGCCGGGCUAGAGUCCGGAAGAGGCGAGUGGAAUUCCUGGUGUAGCGGUGGAAUGCGCAGAUAUCAGGAGGAACACCAACGGCGAAGGCAGCUCGCUGGGACGGUACUGACACUGAGGCGCGAAAGCGUGGGGAGCGAACAGG